rnacentral:lncRNA from 1 species
AAAAACAAAAUAAAAGGAGGUGCUGUCAGAAGUAAUUUUCAAAGCUGCUGCUGUCAUUUAGGAACUUUAAUUUCUUUUGAACCACCUUCAAAUAUCCAUCUUUGAUGUUUUUGUAAAACAUCAGAGGACAGAGCAUUCAUUCCAAGUAUAUUUGGCUAGUUUAUGAAUCUAAACUAAGCCCAGUACUGGAAACUAAUGUAACAGCUUUAACCAUCAUGCUCCUUGACUUUAGGGAGUGGUAAACUCAGCAGAAUUUUUGCACAGCAGUUAAACAAGUUCCUUUAAAUUGCUAAUAACUCUAGACUACUAUACUAUACUGGGAAAUGUAGAGACUAAGGCAUAUGGUCUGCAUUAUCUUAUCUCAUCUUUAUGUGCCUAAAUAUUUUGGAAAAUAUAGUCUUUAAUCUAAAAUAUCCUAAUGGAAUUGUUUAAAAUACAAAUAGUAAGCUGUAAUUCUUGGAACUGCUAUGAGACACAUGUAUUUGAAAAUUCCAUCUAAUUUCCUUUCUGUGUGUGGUAGAGAUCUCUCAGAGUUCCCUGAAGAUGCUAAGUUCAUAUACAACAGAAAAAAAAAACUUCAUGAUAAAAGCGUAUUUCGGAACAUAUUAUAAGUCCCUGUGCAUAUAUUUGCAUGAGAAAAUUUCUAUAUUCAAGAGUGACUACUAUAUACAUUAUAUAUGCAGGUAUACAAUCAUAUACAUGAAAACAUAUGUCUGUGUGUAUAUAUGUAUACACACACAUGUUCAAACUCUGAGUAGAAAUGUACAACUAUAGAUACCAAUUCAAUCUGCCUAAUGUAGGAAGCCAUCAUUUUGCUCAAAGAUUGAGAGGAAAAAUAUCAAAUGAAAUUUUUUCUAACACUAUUCCUGAUUACAUUAGGAAAGUUGAUUUGUAUUCAUAUGAACAGAUGAAGCUAAUGGCCAAAAUACCCCACAACACUCACUUGCAAUACAUGCUUUCAAGUACUUCAUAUACAGGUUUAAAAGGUCAAGAUGUUAUAAUUGAAAGGUAACAAUUUUGUUUUGAUUAGUAGCUGUAGGAGCCCUACUUCCUGAAUGUCUGCAAAAGAGAAACAUGUUAUAAUACAAGCUUCCUAAGUUAGAUCUAUCUGAAAUCCCUCUGUCAUACAGACACUGCAAUAAAGUACAGUGAAAAUAAAAUAUGCAAAAAGAACCUAACAGAAGAAGAAUAUAAAAGAAAAUUCCAAUCCAUGCGCAGGGAUCUCUCCCACAUCCAGAUCCUCAACCAUUUGGUAAAGAUUUAGCUGACAUCAAGCUCAACGAAUUCACUAGAAUAGUCCAGACUGAACAGAAAAAUUUUAUUCAAGUUAUAAAAAAGGAAUCAGAAUCAUUUCACAGAACAACCUCGUAUCUAUUGAUUUCUCAUCAUCAGCCACUUUUUCUUCUUCCUUCCUCAGACGUGGAGGGUAGCAAACAGGUUGAGAGGAGAUAACACUCUUUUGAAUUAAGAAUCCAGUUCUUUUUAAUUGAAGUAUACUUGGAACUUUGUAAUUCUACUCAUUAUUGGCUCUUUAUUAUUAUAAACAAAAGUACUUUUUUGUUUGUUUGUUUUUAGUUCAAUGAACCAAUUUUACUCUCGGCAGAAUUUUAUUCAUAUCAUAUCAUAGAAUGGUCUGACUUCAUGAUUUUUGUACUAUUAUUUCAGAGCAUCCUAGAGCAGUUUGCAGACCAAACACAUGGAAACUGCAUCCCUUCCACUGAAGUGUAACCACUUGGAAUGUGCUGAUUUAUGGUAAUGUAGCAGAAGAUAAGAAGAUUGAAACUGUCUAACUGGAAUUAGAGAGUAAAUUGAUUUGCCCAAAAUAUAAUUGAACAAGACAUUGCAAUUAACAACUCUGUGCUUGUUAGAAGUGUCACAAGAGCCUUGAUAGCUAGAGCUGGUGAGAACAUUAAUUUUGCACUUUAUAUGAUAGAUGGAAACACCAGCUACACUGAUUCCUAUUUUUCUCUGAGGAGAUUAUUUUUCUAAGCUGUAAUAGCGUAGUGAAAUUAAUUAAUUAAAUUUAUCAUUCAUUCUGCUCUUUUGGAGAGUAUGCAGAGGGAUGAAGUAAAACAAACAAACAAAGAAAAGGAAUCAAGAAAAGCAAACAAAAAAAUCCAACCCCACCAAUAACAAAAAUUUCAAUUUUAUGACACUCUUCAAAUUCUUUUCAUCCUGUCCAUACCUACAAACUCUAUUAUACAGUGAGUAUAUUUUUAUGGCAAUUGAACACAAAAUCAUUAAAAGGAAAUCAGAAG